GAAAAGCUGAAGAAGCUUCUUACCAAUUUUAUAUCCCAGGAAUGUUUUCCUUUGGAUAAAGACUAUCACAGAGGACCACCCCAGUGACCACAUGCAUUUAGGAAGAAAUAGGUGUGACAGAUGGACCCAUCAAGUCCUCUUCCUUGUGGACUAGUUAUCUUUCCUCUUGAGGAAAUGUAUAGAAUGGGUUGUAUCUGCUUGGCGACAUAGAAGAGUAAGGUUUCUUUUUGACUUUGCUUUUUCUUCAGUUGCUUGCCUGGGAUGUACAUCAUAGUCCAGUUUAAUGCUUAUUCAGUAAUAAAACUUUGUUCUUUCCUAUAUGAUAAUGUUGAAUACUACCUGAGCCCUGUGAUCCGGGGCAACAGUGAAGGUUAGGCAGUCCACCGCUUCUGUGUUCCAGGAAACAGCUUGCCUCAAAGAUCCAUUCUCCGUAUGAGUUAGAGUGACAGACUGAAAGUAUUAGGAAAGCCACAAGUCAACUAUCUCUGAAGCCCAACAACUUUCCAAAGAAACACCUACUCAGUGCAGUGAUAGCCUGUUCCAGAUCAUAAAAUAAGAGGGAAGAGUAUCUCUUACUCUUAAACCUGACACACAGCAAUAAAAGAGUUCUGGUCCAAGAAGGCGCUGUAUGAAGACCCUGAACUCACCUCCUCCAUGGAGAUACCAAAGCUACACCUAUUUAUAGCAGAACGAAGGGCUGACUGAACAGCUUCUGCACAACAAAAGACAGACCAUGAAAAGAAUGGCAAGAAAGAUGAAAAGACGCCUUGUCAGAUUGGUAUGGGAAGGAACUGUGGACAUUCUAAGUGACCUUUCUCAAACCUCCAGGACUUUACUCUUUCUGGUCUCCCCGUGGGCUCUCGCGCCCCACAGGAUCUCAGAGCAUGGAGGCUCUCUGUCUGGCACCUGGUGGUACUCGGGGUACUUUUCCUGCACCAAAUCUCUGGUCAUGAGCUUCCUGGGCUCCCACAGAUGAAAUGCUUCCUCCCGGCCUGCAUCGCCAUUAUAUUCAGGAAUUCUGAGAUCUCCUCAGCGGAGCAGUUGCCCUUCAUGAAGGUCACACCCAGGAGAGUCAUCUGGAGCCCAGUCUCGGGCAAUUGCUGCCACCAUUCAAGCUGCCAUCGCUAGUGAUGUCCAGUUUGCUGGUAAGGCCAUAGAAAUGCUCGGUAGAGUACACUUCUUUGAAGUUAAGGCAAAAGACUAGCUCCCAAGUGUUCAGAGGCAUUCCAGAAGGUCACAAGGAAGAGCUCCUUGUACUCUUUUCAGCAUGUCUGCCUUCGUAACGAGUGUUCAUUUUAUAUUUGAGCAAAAAGAACUGUACCAACAAAGUUACCUUCUUGAUGAGAAAGUCUCAGCAUGAAUAUCUACCAGUUAUGUGUGUCUGUGAGUAUGCGUGCAUAUCUAUAUACAAAAGUUUGCUGGAAAAAAAAAAAAACUAGCCUUACUAAGUGUGAUUUACUGUGAUGUUUGCUAAUUCUCACCCAUACACUAUAUUAAAAUAAUUAAUAAUAAAGGCUGUACUUA